rnacentral:lncRNA from 1 species
UUAGGUGGUAGAUCCAAUAAUCACUUCUGUGUAGUGAACCAAGAGGACCUCUAGCAAACUCUAACCUGGCAGGCAAGAAGGAGCAGCUGCACCUUGUUUUAUCAGAUUUCCUUCUCCAUUACCAGAGAACUCGAAGGAUGGAUCCUCAGCAAAACGUGCAAUGUGAAAUCCUGUUCUUCAUGUUAAAGCAGACAAUGAAGAAACAGAAUAAAGUGGGAAUCUUUAAUUCAACCUGCUUGAGCCAAGACAGUAAAACAAAACCUGUAUGUACAAGAUAUUUCUGGUUUGCACCAGGAUGAAGAGGAUCAGAACUCACGUGAGCCGGGAGAAGGAAAUAAUAGACUGGGAUGAGAAGUGUCUGGAAAAAGGAAAGCUCAUCUUCAUAUCCAGAAGGAGGGAGAGAAACUGUGCCAGAAUGAAUGACUGCUGUAGAGUAGAGCACAUGAGCCAGUUCAGCCUAUGUAAAAUAGGAGUUUAUCAUAUCACUGAAAGGAGUUCUCAUCACCCUGGGAAGAAGAAAUUUCACUGCAAUUCAGACAUCUUUAUGACAUAUUAG